rnacentral:rRNA from 1 species
UGAGGAAUAUUGGUCAAUGGACGGAAGUCUGAACCAGCCAAGUAGCGUGCAGGAUGACGGCCCUAUGGGUUGUAAACUGCUUUUAUGCGGGGAUAAAGUGUGCCAUGUAUGGCAUUUUGUAGGUACCGCAUGAAUAAGGACCGGCUAAUUCCGUGCCAGCAGCCGCGGUAAUACGGAAGGUCCGGGCGUUAUCCGGAUUUAUUGGGUUUAAAGGGAGCGUAGGCCGGAGAUUAAGCGUGUUGUGAAAUGUAGUGGCUCAACCUCUGCACUGCAGCGCGAACUGGUCUUCUUGAGUACGCACAACGUGGGCGGAAUUCGUGGUGUAGCGGUGAAAUGCUUAGAUAUCACGAAGAACUCCGAUUGCGAAAGGCAGCUCACGGGAGCGCAACUGACGCUGAAGCUCGAAAGUGCGGGUAUCGACAGGAUUAGAUACCCUGGUAGU